CGCACGCACAUUGCGAUUGUGAUGGGGCGACGUAUGGGCUUGGCACUACAUUUCCCAUAAGUCCGUAGCAGAGCGUAACGUAGCGUAAUAGGUGUCAGUACGCGCUAUAAAUAGACGCACAACAGCAUAGCGUGCUUUUGGUUGUCAUUCAUUGAGGCUACAAACAAGUGGGUAUCAAGCAGAAUCCCACCCGUGUUAAUGGUGAUUGGCCUGGUGACACAGUCGGCAGAUUUGAACUGAUAUGCUACUUGUGUGAAUUACAUUCAAAAGGUAAAAGGAACUUAAAAUGCUACUUUAAUAUUUACUAUUACAUAAUGUGAUUAUUUAAAUAAAAUGGUUUUAUAGGUUCUCUAAGAAGAAACUCUGGGUUGGGUUUUAAUUCCUUUCGGUUAGGUCCAGUUAUGUAAGGUAUUUGAAUUUUAUCCAAAGCCAUUUUAAUGCAGAUUUAAUAUUCACAAAUAUUUAUUAAGUCGUUUUUGUGUUACAGGACUAGCACGACUAUUGUUACUAUUUUUGUUUGUUGAUUUAGGUGAAAGGCCCUGUUUGUUGUGUGCUGUGUACAAAUAUUAUUGUAACUUUUUCUGUGGUUUGUUUUGUUACUCUUGUGUGUUAAAGGGCAGCCGCUCGCCUCCUCCGUGGGUGUGACUGGCACUGGUGAGGUGGUGGGACCCUUUAAUGGUUUGUGGUGAUUUGUGUAUAUUUUUGGAGUGCUGUGGUUGCUGUAGUGUGAUUGCUGUGCUACUGGGAGUUAAAAGUUUCUCAUCUGUUGCAUCUUCUCACACUUCGUCCUGCCCCGUUGUAGGCCUGAGGUUUGCCCUGAAUGUUUUGUUAUUUUGUGUUGCUUACUUUAGCAUUCUCUUUUUUAAAUUGAAAUUGCCCCAUUUAUGCAAUGUUUUAACGAGUAACUGGUUUUGUACUUUAUAAUAAAAACUGUUUGAAUGAG